CAGUCGCCGCGGGAACACGUAGGUGGCAAGCGUUGUCCGGAAUUAUUGGGCGUAAAGGGCUCGCAGGCGGUUUCUUAAGUCUGAUGUGAAAGCCCCCGGCUCAACCGGGGAGGGUCAUUGGAAACUGGGAAACUUGAGUGCAGAAGGGGAGAGUGGAAUUCCACGUGUAGCGGUGAAAUGCGUAGAGAUGUGGAGGAACACCAGUGGCGAAGGCGACUCUCUGGUCUGUAACUGACGCUGAGGAGCGAAAGCGUGGGGAGCGAACAGGAUUAGAUACCCCAGUAGUCCCUGUCUCUUAUAC
rnacentral:rRNA from 1 species